CCCAUGCUGCCGGCCGGCGGAGAGCAAACAAGCUGCCAGCCGCUCAAGGUAGAUGUACGCCAUGUGCCCUCCCUUGAGCCAUCCCCUUCCUUGCUAUGUGGAUCUGACAAAUUGUGUGUUGGUGAAGUUGCCUCCUCCUUGAUGAACUGGUAGACACCUUUUCUUUGUGUUACAAUCUUAAGGCUAUUCAUCAGUUGUAUCACUAUCGUCAUGUUGCGGGAAAAUCAGUGUAUCUUUCGGAAUUCAGUUUAGGAUGAGCACAGGUGUGAUGAUAUUAUUCGCCCCUUUGCAACUCUUCUUUCUUUCUCAAGUGCACAAAGCACAGAAUUUGCCGUAGCUGCUAUUGCUUUCUGCUAAUUCAUUUGUGAUGGAUAGCUGGUACUUCUAGUUAAUUUGUUCCAUUCUCAAAGACAUCCAUCCCUCUUGUUGCAGCUGCCACCAAUGAAGAUGACAUUGAACUUGAUGGCACUGAGCAUGUGCUGGAGGAGUAGUUCUAGGAGAUGCUAUGCAGCAUGCUUGAUGGUGUAAACAAGAAGCUGUUCAAAACUAUGUUUUAUUCUGGAUUUCCUAGAGAUAAACUGUGAUAUCCAUGGAGAUACAUUAAAAGGAGUCAAGUGUUCAUCUGUGCUCCUGGUGGGAGGUCUUAGAGGUGGCAUGAUGGUUGAUCAACAAGUGGAUCAGUGCUCAUGGAGACUUCUAUUUUGGGCGGAGACUUCUAUUUUGGGUUGUGCUCAUGGACACUUUUAUUUUUGGGCAGUGCUUAUUUGGAAUAUCUAGGCUGGCUCCCCUUAUUUUGUAAAUGUGGUUGCUACUUAUACUGUGGCCGGUGACAAACCCAACAUAUGAUCUAGCUAGCUUGACUUAGCACUGUGACAACAAAUGAUGUCUAUGAUGAAGCUUUGCUGUUCAACCAAUUAUAUAUGUAUUGGGUUCAUAUGAAAACUCUGAGCUAUAUUAUUUUAGUCAA